GUCAGGAUGGCCGAGCGGUCUAAGGCUCUGCGUUCAGGUUGCAGUCUCUUCUGGAGACGUGGGUUCAAAUCCCACUUUUGACA